AUCUGGAGCAGCAACCAUUUGUUCCCCAGUGCAGAGAAAGCGACUCUUUUCCUCGGAACACUGGAUACCAUUUUCCUCUUCUCCUAUGCUGUGGGCCUAUUCAUCAGUGGCAUCGUUGGGGAUCGGUUGAAUUUGCGAUGGGUUCUGUCUUUUGGCAUGUGCUCUUCUGCAUUAGUGGUGUUUGUCUUUGGUGCGCUCACAGAAUGGCUGCGUUUCUACAACAAAUGGCUGUACUGCUGCCUGUGGAUUGUGAACGGCCUGCUGCAGUCCACUGGUUGGCCCUGUGUGGUUGCUGUUAUGGGCAACUGGUUUGGGAAAGCCGGACGAGGAGUUGUUUUUGGUCUCUGGAGUGCCUGUGCUUCGGUGGGCAACAUUUUGGGAGCGUGCCUAGCUUCUUCUGUUCUUCAGUAUGGUUAUGAGUAUGCCUUUCUGGUGACGGCGUCUGUGCAGUUUGCUGGUGGGAUCGUUAUCUUCUUUGGACUCCUGGUGUCACCAGAAGAAAUUGGAAAACUCUGAGCUCCUUUUAGUGAGUGAAAGGAGAACUGUACUGCCGUUUGAGUCCUGUCAACAUUGUAGCCAGCCCCUGGCACAGCUGGACG
rnacentral:sRNA from 1 species